GACGAACGCUGGCGGCGUGCCUAAUACAUGCAAGUUGAGCGCUGAAGGUUGGUACUUGUACCAACUGGAUGAGCAGCGAACGGGUGAGUAACGCGUGGGGAAUCUGCCUUUGAGCGGGGGACAACAUUUGGAAACGAAUGCUAAUACCGCAUAAAAACUUUAAACACAAGUUUUAAGUUUGAAAGAUGCAAUUGCAUCACUCAAAGAUGAUCCCGCGUUGUAUUAGCUAGUUGGUGAGGUAAAGGCUCACCAAGGCGAUGAUACAUAGCCGACCUGAGAGGGUGAUCGGCCACAUUGGGACUGAGACACGGCCCAAACGCCUACGGGAGGCAGCAGUAGGGAAUCUUCGGCAAUGGACGAAAGUCUGACCGAGCAACGCCGCGGGAGUGAAGAAGGUUUUCGGAUCGUAAAACUCGGUUGGUAGAGAAGAACGUUGGUGAGAGUGGAAAGCUCAUCAAGUGACGGUAACUACCCAGAAAGGGACGGCUAACUACGUG
rnacentral:rRNA from 1 species